rnacentral:rRNA from 1 species
UACGGGGGGGGCAAGCGUUGUUCGGAAUUACUGGGCGUAAAGGGCGCGUAGGCGGCCUGCUAAGUCGAACGUGAAAUCCCUGGGCUCAACCCAGGAACUGCGUCCGAUACUGGUUGGCUUGAAUCCGGGAGAGGGAUGUGGAAUUCCAGGUGUAGCGGUGAAAUGCGUAGAUAUCUGGAGGAACACCGGUGGCGAAGGCGACAUCCUGGACCGGUAUUGACGCUGAGGCGCGAAAGCCAGGGGAGCAAACAGG